rnacentral:rRNA from 1 species
UACGUAGGUGGCAAGCGUUGUCCGGAUUUACUGGGCGUAAAGAGCGCGCAGGCGGUCGGCUUAGUCGCGUGUGAAAGCCCCCGGCUCAACUGGGGAGGGUCACGCGAUACUGGUCGACUCGAAGGCAGGAGAGGGAAGUGGAAUUCCCGGUGUAGUGGUGAAAUGCGUAGAUAUCGGGAGGAACACCAGUGGCGAAGGCGACUUCCUGGCCUGUUCUUGACGCUGAGGCGCGAAAGCUAGGGUAGCAAACGGG